rnacentral:rRNA from 1 species
GACGAACGCUGGCGGCGUGCUUAACACAUGCAAGUCGAACGGAAAGGCCCUGCUUUUGUGGGGUGCUCGAGUGGCGAACGGGUGAGUAACACGUGAGUAACCUGCCCUUGACUUUGGGAUAACUUCAGGAAACUGGGGCUAAUACCGGAUAGGAGCUCCAGCUGCAUGGUGGGGGUUGGAAAGUUUCGGCGGUGGGGGAUGGACUCGCGGCUUAUCAGCUGGUUGGUGGGGUAGUGGCUUACCAAGGCUUUGACGGGUAGCCGGCCUGAGAGGGUGACCGGCCACAUUGGGACUGAGAUACGGCCCAGACUCCUACGGGAGGCAGCAGUGGGGAAUAUUGCAGAAUGGGCGGAAGCCUGAUGCAGCAACGCCGCGUGCGGGAUGACGGCCUUCGGGUUGUAAACCGCUUUCGCCUGUGACGAAGCGUGAGUGACGGUAAUGGGUAAAGAAGCACCGGCUAACUACGUG